rnacentral:rRNA from 1 species
AUUGAACGCUGGCGGCAGGCUUAACACAUGCAAGUCGAAAGAGUGGCGGACGGGUGAGUAAUGAUUGGGAAUCUAGCUAAUGGAGGGGGAUAACUAAGGGAAAGUGUAGCUAAUACCGCAUACCAUAGGAAGGGCCCAUGUGGGAUUAGGUAGUUGGUGAGGUAAAGGAUCACCAAGCCGACGAUCCCUAGCUGGUCUGAGAGGAUGACCAGCCACACUGGGACUGAGACACGGCCCAGACUCCUACGGGAGGCAGCAGUGGGGAAUAUUGCGCAAUGGGGGCAACCUGACGCAGCCAUGCCGCGUGUAUGAAGAAGGCCUUCGGGUUGUAAAGUUCUUUCGGUAGCGAGGCGUUAACUACAGAAUAAGCACCGGCUAACUCCGUGCCAGCAGCCGCGGUAAUUC